ensembl:lncRNA
UAGAUGUGGCUGGGUCUAGUCAGGUUAUAGCUGGUGGUGUAGAUGAGGCUGGGUCUAGUCAGGUUAUAGAUGGUGGUGUAGAGGAGGCUGGGUCUAGUCAGGUUAUAGAUGGUGGUGUAGAUGAGGCUGGGUCUAGUCAGGUUAUAGAUGGUGGUGUAGAGGAGGCUGGGUCUAGUCAGGUUAUAGAUGGUGGUGUAGAUGAGACUGGGUCUAGUCAGGUUAUAGAUGGUGGUGUAGAUGAGGCUGGGUCUAGUCAGGUUAUAGAUGGUGGUGUAGAUGAGGCUGUGUCUAGUCAGGUUACGGAGGG